rnacentral:rRNA from 1 species
AGCAGCCGCGGUAAUUCCAGCUCCAAUAGCGUAUAUUAAAGUUGUUGCAGUUAAAAAGCUCGUAGUUGAACUUCGGGGUUUACCCAUUGGUCAGGCUUAAUUGUCUGCACUGGUGAGAUGAAUCUCUACCUUCUGAGGAACUUUCAUGCCAUUUAUUUGGUGUGAUGGGAAAUCAGGACUGCUACUUUGAAAAAUUAGAGUGCUUAAAGCAGGCUGACGUCUGAAUACAUUAGCAUGGAAUAAUGAAAUAGGACGGACUGAUUCUAUUUCGUUGGUUUCUAGGAUCACCGUAAUGAUUAACAGGGAUAGUUGGGGGCAUUAGUAUUCAAUUGUCAGAGGUGAAAUUCUUGGAUUUGUUGAAGACUAACGACUGCGAAAGCAUUUGCCAAGGAUGUUUUCAUUAAUCAAGAACGAAAGUUAGGGGAUCGAAGACGAUCAGAUACCGUCGUAGUCUUAACCAUAAACUAUGCCGACUAGGGAUCGGACGAAGUUAAUUUUAUAAUGACGCG